AUUGAACGCUGGCGGCAUGCCUUACACAUGCAAGUCGAACGGUAACAGGUCUUCGGAUGCUGACGAGUGGCGAGCGGGUGAGUAAUACAUCGGAACGUGCCUAGUAGUGGGGGAUACUACUCGAAAGAGUGGCUAAUACCGCAUGAGAUCUACGGAUGAAAGCAGGGGAUCGCAAGACCUUGUGCUACUAGAGCGGCCGAUGGCAGAUUAGGUAGUUGGUGGGAUAAAAGCGUACCAAGCCGACGAUCGGUAGCUGGUCUGAGAGGACGAUCAGCCCCACUGGGACUGAGACACGGCCCAGACUCCUACGGGAGGCAGCAGUGGGGAAUUUUGGACAAUGGGCGCAAGCCUGAUCCAGCAAUGCCGCGUGCAGGAUGAAGGCCUUCGGGUUGUAAACUGCUUUUGUACGGAACGAAUAGCCCUGGGUUAAUACCCUGGGGUCAUGACGGUACCGUAAGAAUAAGCACCGGCUAACUACGUGCCAGCCGCCGCGGUAA
rnacentral:rRNA from 1 species